rnacentral:rRNA from 1 species
AGUGAACGCUGGCGGUAGGCCUAACACAUGCAAGUCGAACGGCAGCACAGUAAGAGCUUGCUCUUACGGGUGGCGAGUGGCGGACGGGUGAGGAAUACAUCGGAAUCUACUUUUUCGUGGGGGAUAACGUAGGGAAACUUACGCUAAUACCGCAUACGACCUACGGGUGAAAGCAGGGGAUCUUCGGACCUUGCGCGAUUGAAUGAGCCGAUGUCGGAUUAGCUAGUUGGCGGGGUAAAGGCCCACCAAGGCGACGAUCCGUAGCUGGUCUGAGAGGAUGAUCAGCCACAUUGGAACUGAGACACGGUCCAGACUCCUACGGGAGGCAGCAGUGGGGAAUAGUGGACAAUGGGCGCAAGCCUGAUCCAGCCAUACCGCGUGGGUGAAGAAGGCCUUCGGGUUGUAAAGCCCUUUUGUUGGGAAAGAAAAGCAGCAGGUUAAUACCCCGCUGUUCUGACGGUACCCAAAGAAUAAGCACCGGCUAACUUCGUG